rfam:Cricetulus griseus cell line CHO-K1, whole genome shotgun sequence.
GGGCAUGAGGGUGAUCUGUCUGUAUCAUCUGUUGCUGCACUGAUUUCCAGGGUUGAUUCUGGUCAUCUAGCCAACUCUACAGAUGUCCCCUCUUCAUGUCACUCCACAGGUGUCUCUCUAGAAGACAUACUCUCCACAAAGACAACCUUCUUCUUAACAUAGGAUAAUCCUUCACCUAUACACCAGCAUUUCACUUCUCUGCUAGAAACUCCAAACAAGCUCUUGAAUUCAAGGUUUGCUCUUACUUUAUUUUAAAUGAUUUAUGUUUAUUUCUGAUUAUACAAAUAGUGGCAUAUCCUGCUGU